rnacentral:rRNA from 1 species
CCUACGGGUGGCUGCAGUGGGGAAUAUUGGACAAUGGGGGCAACCCUGAUCCAGCCAUGCCGCGUGUGUGAAGAAGGCCCUCGGGUUGUAAAGCACUUUCAGUGAGGAAGAACGCCUGGUGGUUAAUACCCAUCAGGAAAGACAUCACUCACAGAAGAAGCACCGGCUAACUCCGUGCCAGCAGCCGCGGUAAUACGGAGGGUGCGAGCGCUAAUCGGAAUUACUGGGCGUAAAGCGCGCGUAGGUGGCUUGAUAAGCCGGUUGUGAAAGCCCCGGGCUCAACCUGGGAACGGCAUCCGGAACUGUCAAGCUAGAGUGCAGGAGAGGAAGGUAGAAUUCCCGGUGUAGCGGUGAAAUGCGUAGAGAUCGGGAGGAAUACCAGUGGCGAAGGCGGCCUUCUGGACUGACACUGACACUGAGGUGCGAAAGCGUGGGUAGCAAACAGGAUUAGAUACCCGAGUAGUC